rnacentral:lncRNA from 1 species
GUCACCAAAUCCUUACCACUUACACACUACUUCACUUGCAGCCAGGAGGCAGCAUCAAAUUAUAACUUAUUUGGGAAAAAAAAGAAAAACACCUUCACUUUAAAAAUUAAAAGAAAAAAAAAAAAAAAGAAAAAAAAAAAAAAGAAAGAGAGACGGGGGAGACUAGUCAGCCACACACCCGGCUGUGCACGGCUCGGGGGGGAAGAGGAGGAGGAGCCCAGCGCUCCCCAGCCCAACCACCGGAGGAGCCGCUCGCUACUACCGGCGGCCGGGCACCGCAAGCUGCCCCGCGACUCCGCAGCCCCGGCCCCUCUCGCCCGCCUUCCCCUCCCAGUGCCAAGGACGCGCCUUCAGAAAAGACUCCUCCGGGGCCUUUGUCCCCGGGGACUUCGCUGCAUCCCGGGCAGACCGAGCCAAGCGGGAUCAGCUGAAGAAAAAAAAAAAUAAAAAAAAAAUUCCACGUUUCUAAAAUAAAUAAAUAAAUAACGCUGUCCGGCGAGCGCCCCCAGGCCACGGCGACGUGCCCGCGCCGCUCCGCAGCCUCUC